GGCCGGGUGUUGCAAUGGUAGCAUGCUAGUUUCCGGUACUAGAGGUUGCGUGUUCGAGUCACGCCUCGGUCG
rfam:Aspergillus carbonarius ITEM 5010 unplaced genomic scaffold ASPCAscaffold_79, whole genome shotgun sequence.